AUUGAACGCUGGCGGCAUGCCUUACACAUGCAAGUCGAACGGCAGCACGGGUGCUUGCACCUGGUGGCGAGUGGCGAACGGGUGAGUAAUAUAUCGGAACGUACCUUAUUGUGGGGGAUAACGCAGCGAAAGCUGUGCUAAUACCGCAUAAUCCCUAAGGGGGAAAGCGGGGGAUCGUAAGGCCUCGCGCAAUUAGAGCGGCCGAUACCUGAUUAGCUAGUUGGUGAGGUAAAGGCUCACCAAGGCAACGAUCAGUAGCUGGUCUGAGAGGACGAUCAGCCACACUGGGACUGAGACACGGCCCAGACUCCUACGGGAGGCAGCAGUGGGGAAUUUCGGACAAUGGGGGCAACCCUGAUCCAGCAAUGCCGCGUGAGUGAAGAAGGCCUUCGGGUUGUAAAGCUCUUUUGUCAGGGAAGAAACAGCAGCUCUAACACAGUAUGCGAAUGACGGUACCUGAAGAAUAAGCACCGGCUAACUACGUGCCAGCCGCCGCCGUAA
rnacentral:rRNA from 1 species